UCCGAUCACUGGGAAAGAAGAGCAAGUAAGUAAUGAAUGAAUGAAUGAAUUUAGAUGGUAUAUAAACAUCUCCCCAUGAAGGGAAGGUGCUAUAGUAUCUAACUAAGAAAACAAGUAGGUUGUGAAAUGAUAGGAAAUAUGCCAUGCAGAAAAUCAAGGAAAUAUUUCCUGGAUUUUCGGAUGACCCGGCUUAUCUUUGCAGUUAUCCUUAUUUAGCAGAAUCUAGUGAGUGUUCCAUUAAAAGGAAAGAGAGCUAUUCGUUGUAGGAUUGAUCCAGACAACCCAACCUAAGUCACCUAUUGCGCCUAACCUAAGUAUAGUGCCAGUGGUCGGCGAGGAGAAGUUCAUUCCUGUAGAGAAGAGAGGGGAUCCUAUUUCCUUUCCCCCUUUCCCAGUAUGGCAACCUUAUCUUCCAGCAUGAAAGUUGGUAUCAGAAUGAAACAAUCCAAUCCAUACUUGUGGAGUGCUAAGUUCAGUUCCUGAUUUAUCUCAAGCCUAAACCGGAAAAGGAAACCUAUUACCCGGGGUCCCCCCUUUCGGCUAUCUCAUCUGCUGUUCCUCGACUCUCAGGAAGGUAAGAUCAUCAAUCAAUAGUAGGCUGCUGCUCUGUGCAGUUAAAGAUGGGAUCCAACCUGUUCUGUUUGCUUGUUUCCUAUAAUCUGUGCUCGAUUCCAUAUUUCUGUAUCCUUCGAUUCCCGGGACAGAUCUGAUCUCCUUUAUACUUACCUCAAACAACGAGCGAAGUCGAGAUGUUGAUGAGAAAGGGGCUUUUCUCAAGGCCAAAGAGUGCUCUUUGAAGGCUACUAUGCAUCCUUACGAAUACAAGAGUGGUUUUUUUUGUUUUGGGUAUAGCAGGACUUGAACCUGCGACCAUUAGGUUAAAAGCCCAAUGCUCUACCAACUAAGCUAUACACCCGAUUUUACAAGAAGGCUUGGUGCGGAAAAGAAAAGAGGGCGGCCUGGCCCCUUUUCUUCUUAUCAUAUCACAAGGGCGCGGCUCUGUAUGGUAUAGUACUGUGGAGCAAGUUUGGGAGUCCUUUCCACUCAUUGAGGAUUCUAUCUAAAAAAGAAGGUCAACGGGGGAGACUACAGUAGCUCGAACUCAGAAACUACCCUUCUAUCCCACCCUGCUCCUCCGGCAUCGGAAGCAGAACUACCUGACCGAAGGAGAUAGACAGGAAGGGAAGACGGUCAUACAAAGGCCGAAUAAAGCUCUCUUGAAGCUGCAUCUGAAUAGACCUAGAGUCACUCAGUACAUACGAACCCUUGAAUAAAUAAGAAUUGAGAAGUAUGAAAUGUGGGCAUCAUAACAAAAAAAGAAAAAGACCGAACCAGUAAGACUAAUGUCUACUUAUUUAUACCUUUGAGAGGUCCACUUAGACUAUUAUGAUUUUCUCUUUAGCUACGUAGGUUAUAUAAGAUUCAAUUCAAUCUAACAAGCGGACUGGACUACCUUCGGCUACUACAAGAUAUUUAGAAACCUAAGAAGCUGAGCCUACUUUACGCACUUAAGGCAGCAGCAGAUGAUGAAGAAAUGGGCGGUAGAUGAUAAUGAGAAAGGGCGCCCCUUGGCAUUUCCUGUGGGGGAGUCUGAUUGAUCCAAUCACGACGAAUGAUGUCAACCCCCUCUUUUGCGCCUAACUUGACUCUGAUUCUCCCACUAUGAGAGCUGAUCCAGGGGCUAGUUCGGCUACAGAAUGGAAUUUACGAAAGCCCCCCCCCGUCUUUCCGACUCAAUGUAUUGCCCUUUGGGACCAGGAUCUGACGAGGAAGUGAGAGAGGGGACACCAAACAUAGGUGCGUACCAUUGCCCCAAUCCAAUGGACUAUGUCAUACAGGGAGGAACCCUUGGAGGUUGGGACAGAAAGAAAGCAGGUUUUGCUUCUGCUUCCUUCGAGCUACCAAACUCUUUCGUCAGGUGUGGGUCAAGUUCCCUCAUUAUUGCUUGACUUCCCCUUUGGGGCACGAAAAGAUGGACUAGGACUUAAGUAAGGGAGAGGACAACCCCUGUUUCUGGCUUACCUUCAACGAGUGAGUGCUAUUCCCAUUCCUUACUUUGAUCCGACCCUGUUCCCCGACCAGUUUGCUUGCUCACUAGAAGAGUCAAGCGAGAGCAGCUAGUUUAGAAGGAAAAGGACACCAGGGGCUAUUCGGCCUCACUUGUCGGAGACUGAACUACCGCUCGCUUACUUGCUGAUCAAGGAGGUCAUUUCCACUUACUCUAAGCAUAGAAGGAAGAAGAUUGAAAAACUAACAAACAAAUUGUCUUCAGCCCUACUUACUUAUAGGCUGACUUGGCCCAGGAAACAAGGUUCUAUUAGGCUUGCAGGGCUUAAAAAAGAAUGAGCUAGAUCGCAGGUAUUUGGAUACGAGGUAGUAGCGGGGUCUAGUCGAAGCGGUGCGCAAAGUGUACAAAGGCGAGUCUCACGGGCAGCGGCACGUGAGGGGUCUCCCGAACUUCAUGGAAGACGCAGUUAGGGAGUUGGAAGAUGCACUUUGGACUCCUGCACCAGUAAGAAUGGAACUGGAAUAAAAAGUCGGGGUAGCUAGUCACUCCGUUACUGAGGAAAGAGAGGAUGGCAUUUCCAUAAGUAGACUCUCCUUCUUACUGAAUCCUUAUCCUGCCCUCUCUACUCGGGAACAAUUCAUUCUUAACUCGUACAUAAGUUCCGGGCGUCGACAAGAGAGUUAGCGAUCUACAGCUGGUUCGGUGGACUGGUGGUGACACGGGCGGGCCCUCUACUUUAUUUGCCGAAUCCAAUCGAUCAUGGGCGGCCCUCUUCGUUCACAGUCUUUCUUUCCUUUCGAAUCCAAUUGUUCCAAUCUGACCAAAUAGCAAUUCAUUGAAAUCAUUCGGGUCACCUCUUUUUUAAGCACUUGACCAAGCCUAUUUCUAUAGAAAAGGACAGGAAUCUAUUGACUUUGAGUCUGUCUCCUACUACGAAAUUGGAACUGAACACAGGAUGGCAAUAGUGAGAAAAAAAAUCCCCUCGUACUACGUCAUUAUUUAUUCUAUUUUCCCUGGUAAGUGCUCCAGAUGCAGUUGCUUUAGUUGACGUAGUGAGUGGAACCUAAUUAUCUGUUUCCUUGAAUACCAGAGUUGCCUUUUGUAGAUGAGAAAGCCAACAAUUUUGCAAGGAGUUGAUAAUUGCACUUGAAGUAGUAAGUUUAAAGACAGUUGAAACUUAAUGGCACCGUUUAACCAAGCACUCUUGUAGCUUCGGAAACUCCGUGUUCAGAUCGGUGAGGCAAGAGACGAAUUCAUCGUCAGUUACCUCCACGAUAUCCAAAAUACCCUCCAGACCAUGAAGACAGAUAAUGAGAGUCAGGUUCAAACAAUUCAAGGAUUGUAAAUACCAUAACAGCAAAGUAGAAUGCACCAAAUUUUUCCUAUUACCGGUUCCAGGAAGAGCACACCAAAUGAAAGAAACUAUUACUCAAAAAGCGAAUCACAUCUCGAUCCACAAACUGCCAAAAGCCUUUGUUAUUCCAUUCCCAGUGGAACGUCAACCUGUUUAACAACAAUUUUCUAAGAAACUUGCUGAAUUCUAAAUGAAACAACCUUAUUUUCAAGUGACAGGCAAUAUCCAUUUCAACCAAUUAUUAAAGAUAAAAGGGCUAACUGCACAGCUAAUUGAAUUCCUUUUCGAGGUUGAGUUCAUCUUGAAACCGCAUUUGCUUCCUAAUUAAACUGAGAAAAAAUAAGAAUAUUAAAAGAAAGACUCCACAGAACAUGAAUGAAUUCAGGUACAUCACAUCAGGCUGAUAUGUGCCGGUAUCAUACCUGUUUCAAGAUUCUGGCUAAGCCCUUCUUGUUGCCACAUAUCCAGUUUCUUCUAAGGUUUCUUGAAUUGCUCAAGUUCCUGCUCAACGCUUCUUGUCUAGCUCCAGUCUAGCACUUGUACCAGUCGCCUACCAGAUCACGGCUUUGCUCCAAUUCGACUCUCCAAUUAUGCAAUCCUCUCCAAAAUUGGGGCUUUUCUUCACUUCAGCACUUCCCCUCGCAGUGGAUUCCACUAGGUUCUUAACCUCUUCCCAAUUCUUAAACUGAAACCUGCGAUGUCUAAUCCAACUCGGCACCUAACCAGCUUGUCAGCAUCGUAAGUUUGCCUCAACAUUCCCCCUAGAAAUACAAAAAGAAUGUAAAUCUACUUUCAUCUAUUUAUUAGGGANUAACGCUUGUGAUCUCUUUCUUUUUCUAUUUUCUAGAAUAAGUAUGCUCUGGAGUAAAAGGAUUCGAACCUUUGCAUGCCGGUACCAAAAACCGAUGCCUUACCACUUGGCUAUACUCCAAACGGGGGGAAGGCUCGAUGAAAACGAGCUGGGAUAUAGAUUUUUCAGAAGGAAGAGUUAGUUACCCUCGGUCUUCCUUCUUUCCCGGGAAUCAAGGAAGUAGUAGCGGGACAGUCCUUUAUUUCCCCCUUUAGACCAACUACAACAAGCUCGCUCCUUAGGUUAGCUCUCUGCUCUACCUAUUUGUUUGCAAUGCCUUGCUUAUCAAAAUAGGCCUUUCUGUAACCUGACCUUACGCUGAAAAACAGCACUUGUUGGCUCUGCGUCCACUGAAACUUAUGAAAAAGAAAUGUUAUUCUAUCGAUAUCUUCAAGAGUUCCCUAACCCCCUGACUGAGAGUGCUAUGAUGGGCUAUUGAAGUUCGUCCCUGCGGCACGGUGGGGCAGUGCAAAUCCUUUCAUUAAUGAAGUUCCGCCCUGACACUCCCAUUAUUGGCUUCCUUCCCUGGGGACCGCUCGGGCGAAGGCAGAGCAUGGAAUGAUCGUAGGGGCAUCCUUCCUAGGUGGAAAAGACGUGUGUGACUAAAACCAGGAGGAGAAAUCCAUUUUCAAAUGGCGACAGAAAGAAAGGAAUCACGAAAUAGAAGAAAAAGUGCACUGUGCUGGCAAAUGUGGAGAAUAGCCAUCCAUCUUUCAUCAAUGAAAUUGUUCCGUAUGGGUAGCAAAUACACAUAUCAGAAGAGCCAACCCGAAAGCACUUGCUUCAAAGAAGCAGCAGUUACCAAGAAAUUCCUGUUUCAAGUCAGUAUAUCUCGAUAGAACCAAUUCCAAUCCAGGUAGUGUGAACAGAGGAUGUGGAAGUUCUGUUUCCUUGCCUUGUCAAGCAUUUCAUCUGACACUCUAUCUAUACUAUAGCUAGAUCAAUUCCUAUUCUUUCUUCCAGGCGACUUUACUCCAAAGAAUUUUGCCUUCUUAUCUUGACUCGAUCUCACGAAAUUGGAUUGAUUGGCACACCGCGCAUCUGGCAUUCGCUUCUCCUAUCUAUCUCUUCCAACUAAGCUGAUCACUGGAAAAUAUGAAAUCCUGCAAGCAAUCAUUCCAGAGCCAACUACGAAGAUACCUGGUCUUCCACUCUGUUCACUGGAGGAAAGACAAGAAAGUAAACAAUUCUUCAAAGGAAUUGGCUCUACCGGAACAGAGGAAUUGGCUCGCUCCUUCGCUCGCUGGGUAAGCGUAGAAUGCACACCAGUCUGGUAUCAAAGCGUAUCUACUUGAAAAGGAGACUACUUGAACAGAUGAAAUGGAAGGAAGAAAUGAAAGUUCGAUCUACCAACGUAGAGUCCGCCCCUCCCAGGAAGAAGAAAUUUGCUACUUUGGCUCAUCAGUUGGUAAGUCUGUCUAUGAAGUUCAGUACCCAGAAAAGAGAAAAAAAGACCAAAACAAGCUUUUUCAAGCUCUACAAGUCCUAUAUAUAUAGUGUUCCACUAGAUAGCCGUGUUAAACUAGUCCAGUCUUGCCGAGUGGCCUUAUCUUCUGGUUACCUGGUCCGGUACUUCUACUUCGAGAGUGAGUUAGUAAACAGGAUCAACUUUAUGAUCCAUUUUGAGAAAUUGCAAUCACAGAAUCAGAACGAGUGGGUCUAGAGUCCAUCCUCACACAGUUGAAAUGCUGCUUCUCCCUUCUCCUUUCCAAAAGAAAGUGGAUCUCAUAGCCUCUGACAAUUCGAAAAGUAGGUNNNNNNNNNNNGGUCUCAGUCUCAUUUUCAGAUGAAAUUUUCCACCGGAAAGAGAAUCCCAUAUUCUUUAAGCCAAGCCGCCAAUCCUAGGGUCAAUGCGGAACAGGAAACCAUUGCUAUUUGAGCAGUUAGAGAAUAGAAAUUCCACUCAUUUAGAAAUCGAUCAGCGAAUGCCAGAGGAAGGAUAAGGGGAGCCUACACCAACGUAGUCUUAGCCCUAGAACACAUGGAGCUUGGAGCACUGAUAAUAAGUCUGUCUGAUUUUCAAGGAGUUUAUGAACAAUCACCACAUCCAUAUUGAGGAGAAAGCUCACUCAGGCUACUGAACUUGUAAAUACAGUUGCGCUCAUGAUAGGGAUUCCGUUUAUGGCGUGAGGUGAAGUUAGAAGCAUACCUGGAUAUAUACUCAUAGUGGCUUCCAUACCUAUCUCCGGUAGAACUAACAAAAUAGAAACCUAUGACUAGUAGACUCAUACGAAAACUUGAAAGAUCUAUUUCAUUAGAAGAGAAAGUUCACUAAUCUAUGGCCUAGAAAGCAAAAAGAAAUGAUCAGUCCAAUGACAGAAGGACAGAAGCGCGUUCCCUUCGUCCUCAAUGUGCGUCCACAGCUUACUCGAGUGCUUGAGAUAUUCAUUCGGUUUAAGGCACCUUCAUCGUAGGAAGGAAAAAACCCGGAUCCCCGGGCGGAUCAUUCCCUCUAACAAGCUAAACAAGAGUCCAGGAGCGAGAGAGGAAAAUCCAAAGUGCAAAUAACAUAAUAUGAAAAAAGAAAAAAGUUCUAUUGAGUUGUUGAAAAAAAAAAAGGCACUUUAGAAGCGAAAGUAGGCUAUUCUCGUAAAGGAAUAUCGUAACGGGCGACUAGGUAAUAUAGAAGGCCGACCCACCCGAAUCUCUUGGUGGCCUUUCCCUCGGCUUCCAUCACAGAAGAUGUCAGCAAUAGCAAUCCUUCAGUCAAUAGAAUCAGUAACUAUACUACUUAAACUUAAAUAGUUCAAUACCAACCAACACAUAAAGCAAUAACCAGAUAGAUAGAAUGAUAACAGGUAAUACGAAGAUAUCAACACAGCCGGAGUCACGAGGCUCGAUAAUGACCAAUGGGUUAGGAUCUGAGGAAGCUUAGUUUGGAUGAUGGAAUAUUCGCUGUUCUGAUUGUUGAGAUACUGCAAAUCCACUUAUCCAACAAUUUCAGUCCAUUUUCCUACUUUUUCUGCAAGGGGUUCAAGGGGAAAGCAUUAUUAUAUCCUUAAUAUGACUCUCUGUCACACGGAUGCUGCUGGGCUGCUACAAAACCCCUAUAGUCGAAAAAAAGAUCGAAACAGGGAUAAAACGUAGGAUAACCCAGAUCACUCGGACUAGCUGAACUCUCCAGAACAAACACAACCUAGGUGGUUUGACUAACGUUUUGGCACAUUAGACUAACCUAAGACAACUCCUGGCUACAUUCAGUCCUAUCGAGAUACAAGCUGUUACCAACCUGAUACAACGCAAGUCACAAGCUUGACACAGCGAGAAUGGCUGCAACUGACAACUCCU
rnacentral:lncRNA from 1 species